GAGUUUGAUCAUGGCUCAGGAUGAACGCUAGCGGCAGGCUUAACACAUGCAAGUCGAGGGGUAGAGUAGCAAUACUUGAGACCGGCGCACGGGUGCGUAACGCGUAUGCAACCUACCUUUUACAGAGGGAUAGCCCAGAGAAAUUUGGAUUAAUACCUCAUAGUAUAUGUCUUUCGCAUGUUAGACAUAUUAAAGUUCCAACGGUAAAAGAUGGGCAUGCGUCCUAUUAGCUAGAUGGUAAGGUAACGGCUUACCAUGGCAACGAUAGGUAGGGGUCCUGAGAGGGAGAUCCCCCACACUGGUACUGAGACACGGACCAGACUCCUACGGGAGGCAGCAGUGAGGAAUAUUGGACAAUGGGCGCAAGCCUGAUCCAGCCAUGCCGCGUGCAGGAAGACGGUCCUAUGGAUUGUAAACUGCUUUUGUACGGGAAGAAACACUCCCUCGUGAGGGAGCUUGACGGUACCGUAAGAAUAAGGAUCGGCUAACUCCGUGCCAGCCGCCGCCGUAAU
rnacentral:rRNA from 1 species